ACAGCAGUAGCCACGGGAAUACAGAGGGUGCGAGCGUUAAUCGGAUUUACUGGGCGUAAAGCGUGCGUAGGCGGCUUCUUAAGUCGGAUGUGAAAUCCCUGAGCUUAACUUAGGAAUUGCAUUCGAUACUGGGAAGCUAGAGUAUUGGAGAGGAUGGUAGAAUUCCAGGUGUAGCGGUGAAAUGCGUAGAGAUCUGGAGGAAUACCGAUGGCGAAGGCAGCCAUCUGGCCUAAUACUGACGCUGAGGUACGAAAGCAUGGGGAGCAAACAGGAUUAGAUACCCGCGUAGUCCCUGUCUCUUAUAC
rnacentral:rRNA from 1 species